rnacentral:rRNA from 1 species
CUACGGGGCGCAGCAGUGAGGAAUUUUGCGCAAUGGGGGAAACCCUGACGCAGCAACGCCGCGUGAGUGAUGAAGGCUUUCGAGUCGUAAAGCUCUGUCAAGUGGGAAGAACCUACUAAGUGCCAAUACCACUUAGUACUGACGGUACCACUGAAGGAAGCACCGGCUAACUCCGUGCCAGCAGCCGCGGUAAUACGGGGGGUGCAAGCGUGACUCGGAAUUAUUGGGCGUAAAGGGCGCGCAGGCGGCCAGGUAAGUCAGAUGUGAAAGCCCGGGGCUCAACCCCGGAAGUGCAUUUGAAACUACUUGGCUUGAGUAUGGGAGAGGGAAGUGGAAUUCCUGGUGUAGAGGUGAAAUUCGUAGAUAUCAGGAGGAACACCGGUGGCGAAGGCGACUUCCUGGACCAAUACUGACGCUGAGGCGCGAAGGCGUGGGUAGCAAACAGGAUUAGAUACCCGCGUAGUC